GAUGAGCCCUAGGUGUUAUGUAUAAGUGAUGAAUCACUAAUUCUAUUCCUGAAAUCUUUAUUAUGCUAUAUGUUAACUAACUUGGAUGUAAUUUAAAAAGAUAAUCUAAAAAAAGUGAACUAAUAUACCUACCUAACAACCACAAUCCCUUUCUUCUUUGGUGUUGUAGAGUCCCGAUUUUGUUAAAGAUUAUAAUGUGCCAUUAUUGGUUUAAGGCAAUCAUGUCACUUCUGUUACUGUUUGCUAGAUAACUUUCCUCCCCAGGCUUCCUUGCAGCUGGUGGUGACCAAGGUGACCUAGUUCUGGCCAAGGAGACAUAAAGGGAAAUCUUACUUUGGGGGAAGAUUUUCCUCCUGAUAAAAACAAAGCUCUUUUCUGUCUAUCCCUUUCUUUCCUAUUUGGGUGCUGGUAUGGCUGUGUGAUAUCUGGAACUGUGGAAGCCAUCUUGUCACCAUGAUGUCACAUGUUCAAGGAUGAGAGGUCCACACACUGCAGAUGCCCAAACAAGGUGAGAAAAGCCUGGGCUUUUGACUGCAUUGUUAAGCUUCAGAACAAACCCUGGGACCAUCUACCUCCAGCCUCUCACCAAGAAAACAGUGAUCGUCAUUAUGGUUCAAACCACUGUCGGCCAGGUCUUCUGCGAUGGCAGCCCAGUGCAUUGUUGGGAGGUAAGGGUACAGUGAAGGUGGAGGAGAGGGGUGUGGGUGACAAAUUACGGAGGUGUGUGUCAUAGUGCUGUGAGAAGCACACUGAGAAUUGAAGAACUUUUCCUAAUUAGCUGUGUAACCUUGAGUAACUCACUCACCUCUCGGGGCUGCAAUUUCCUCUCUGGAGAGAAGGCAUUUAACUAGAUGAUCUCUAAGGUUUUUACAGCUCGAACACUGACUCUGAACAUACAGUCAAGUCUCUGAGUACCACAGCUGGGCAAAUAUUCACAGAGGAUUUUGGAGAAUUAUUAAUUAUGCCCAAAGAAAAGACCAGGGAUAGUUGUUCUGUAGCAAAUGCUUAGCUCUGGGCUUGUAAAUAAUGAGUUUCUUCUUCGUUUCUGAGCUCGUGUCUAAUGUAGGUCUUACCUGCUCUAGGGGACUUUCAUCAAAUGCUCAUUAGAUGCCUUGUUUAUAAAAAAUGAUUUGCAUGCAAGGAGCAAAUGCUUCCUUUUCAGGAGCAGGUGUUGUGGGAUGAGGAGAAACAUGCUGGCUAAUGCCUUGUCAUCCAAAUUCACAGAAAUUUCUGGUAUCCUGGGCAGGUUUGACACCAUUCUGGGAAGAGAACUAAGAGACACAUCUUCUGAAUAAAUUAGUCUAUUUAUUCAGUUUCUAGUUCUGUAGGGUAGAGCUUUGGCAGGAUCCCAGAGAAGCAUCAGCUGGGGGAAAAAAAUCACUUUAUUUUCUGCUUUAGCCAACAGCAUUUUCCUGCCCGGACUCUGCAAAAACGGACUUGCUUAGCUUUGCAGGCUCCUCCAGCUGCCACUGUUUCUCUGUGGCCUUCUGCUAACACAUGCCCCCGGCUCGGUCAGAUUUCUUCAGCUCUCGUAUUUCCCCCCCCAAAACGAUUUUUCUUUAAUCUGUCCCUGAUUUUCUCUGCAGUAAUAUACACAAGCUUACCUUUUCCCCCGUUUCCUUCCAACUUCCAUUAUCUCCCUUGCUCGCCCUCUCCUCUUUUCUCCAUCUACUGCCAUGUUCUGAAAGGUUUCUUUGACUUUUGUGAAGUGAUGUCCCUAAAAUCUCAUCAGAACUCUGGGUGUCAUGAUUAUCUGAUAUCAUCAUGCAGACGUGUUUUGCCAGCUACCAUUUGCUCUGCAGAGAGAAUUGCGCACUUACGGUCUUGCUCUGUUGGGCAGAGCAGUGAAGACCAGCUGAGCACGUGGAUGUCAUUCAUUUACAUACACAUUUUACAAACCUUUAUUGAAGAUGACCAUGGAAUUCGAAAGCACUGAGCUAAGGACUAUAAGGGGAAACAAAUUACUUUCUGCACGAACAUGUCCUGUCUGGAGCUUCCAAAGAGGAGGAGCAGGUGACACCACCUGACUUUCCUCCCUCAGCUAUUCAGCGAAUUUCUUCACUCGCGUGUGUUUCCUUGCCAGGCAAGUCAAUAAACUUGGCUUUGUGGAUUUUAUUUAUUUUAUAACUCUGGUCGUCCUCAUUUUAUUUGUUUUCAGAAUAUAGGCUGUAGGGGAGCCAACUAAUGUUUAACAUCUGGCAGCAGCACAGAAGAAAUUCUGAACAUUAAAAACGACUAAAAGAAAAACAACCUAACCCAACCAAAAAACAAGCCAAUAACAGCCACAGUAACAUCAUAACAGCAAAUCUCACUCGGGAGACAAGGCCCUGUUAGGAAAUGAGACCCACGAUAACUUCCCAGCUCAGGUCAUUUCUGACCAGGAGCUGGUUUCAACUGGAUGAAGCCAAUUUCAACAGCGGUCUGAUCCAGAUCUGAAUAUUGUUUUCCACGUUGGUGUGGCUUCUUUGUUCUGUUUAACAUUCCAAGUUUAGCAGGCUGGUAAGGAACAAAGGCCGUAAUUUUAACAAACAUUACCUGCCUUUUACUUUUCUAAUUAUUUACCGGGUACUGCUGCAGCCUUUGGUUCGUUUAGGUAGGAAUUACGCACCUUUGGCUCUCAUAUUGUGAUAUCUGGAUUUUCUCAGAAGAAUCCUUCCAGAACUUGAGCUCGUUUUGCUUUGUGAUCUUAUUAAAGAAAGUCAGGAGAUUUUUAGUUCCGAGCAGGGUUUCUGCAGCACAUGUUUCAAACUCUGGGAAUUAUUGGAGGCCUGUACAUCAUUCCUCACUGAAGGAAACAUCCGGCACUUUUCCCAUACGUGCACUUUCCUUCUACAUCAAGAUGCUAUUAUGAUUUGUUUCCCCCCUUAUGGCAGAUUACUAAUAUACCACAUAUUUGUGAAGGGAAUUUAUUGAAAAUAUAGCAGAAUCCUUUUAAUGUAUUCCUUGUAGCUUUAAAGUAAUACAGCCCAAUCACGUUUCUGCCUCUGGCUGUUCCUAUAUUUUAGGGAUUUUGGUCUGCAAUAUAAAGUACACAAUGCUUUGCUUGUCUUAAGUCA